AGUGAACGCUGGCGGUAGGCCUAACACAUGCAAGUCGAACGGCAGCACAGUAAGAGCUUGCUCUUACGGGUGGCGAGUGGCGGACGGGUGAGGAAUACAUCGGAAUCUACUUUUUCGUGGGGGAUAACGUAGGGAAACUUACGCUAAUACCGCAUACGACCUACGGGUGAAAGCAGGGGAUCUUCGGACCUUGCGCGAUUGAAUUAGCCGAUGUCGGAUUAGCUAGUUGGCGGGGUAAAGGCCCACCAAGGCGACGAUCCGUAGCUGGUCUGAGAGGAUGAUCAGCCACACUGGAACGGAGACACGGUCCAGACUCCUACGGGAGGCAGCAGUGGGGAAUAUUGGACAAUGGGCGCAAGCCUGAUCCAGCCAUACCGCGUGGGUGAAGAAGGCCUUCGGGUUGUAAAGCCCUUUUGUUGGGAAAGAAAAGCAGCAGGUUAAUACCCCGCUGUUCUGACGGUACCCAAAGAAUAAGCACCGGCUAACUUCGUG
rnacentral:rRNA from 1 species